rnacentral:rRNA from 1 species
UAGGGAAUCUUCCACAAUGGGCGCAGCNGAUGGAGCAACGCCGCGUGAGUGAAGAAGGUCUUCGGAUCGUAAACUCUGUUGUUAGAGAAGAACAUGCGAGAGAGUAACUGUUCUUGUAUUGACGGUAUCUAACCAGAAAGCCACGGCUAACUACGUGCCAG